rnacentral:lncRNA from 10 species
AACGAUUGCAAGCAAAAGCAGCUGAGGGACGCUGUCCAAGGAGUAGGCUCAGUAGCACGAACUGCAAAUACUUGAGAAGGGAAAAGUUCAGCCUUGUGCUGGAAAGUGGUUUAGCAUGCUGGAGCUGGUUUUCUGCUUGGUAGCCCUACAACUUUGGCCCAACUACUUGGCCUCUGGGACUCAGAUUCCUCCUCUUUAAAAUGGUGCUAAUAAUAGCACCCACCCUCUGUGAGGAGGAUGCUGUGAGGACAAAAUGAGAUCAUCCACAUAAGCCGUGAACCCUGUUCCUGGUAAGGUUGCUUACACUGAAAAUCAGUUUAUUUUCCCCUGGUGCAAAGAACAGUCGUUUCUCCAAAACUGAAGCUGGAAAUUAUCUGAAAUAUCAGGUCCUCCGGAAAAGGGACGUGAAGCCCCCUUUGUAAUUUCUGCAUUAGCGUGCUCUCCUGGCAAGCAGGAAACCUCAUCAGAGAAGUCAGCCAAGGAAAGUCUUUAAAUGGAAAUUGUGCAAACGAGGAGCAAAUGCAUUAAAAAGUUGCUGACGGGCAUGAAAUGCUUUGAUGUGAAGACGGAAAACUCCAAGCAGGAAGGAUUUUAACAUUUUGAAUCUGAUUGACUCUGUGGUUUCUCAGCACAGUUAUUCCAUGGGCUAAAAUAAAUGCAGAAAUGGUACUUUCAGACCACAGCUGCAGAGGGGAUCGUGGUGAAUUUCAAUGAAAAUCCAUUUGAAUCUUGAGGUUCAGAUCUUAAAAAAGCAAAGGACAUGAGAGAAGUAAUAUUGUUGCUUGAAAUUUCAUUGCUUAUAUCUAAAAGAAACUCCUAUUUUUAAGAGAAAUGUUGAAUCUUUGCAACGUGGUAGACGCUCCCACAAAACUUUCUCCUGAAAUAGGAGAUAAAUGUUGGAAAGAGGCAAUGUAUUGAGUAUGCUGAUAGAGGUGGAGUUCAGAGACAGGCAAGCAUACAUAAGAGUCAGGAUGUUUUUCAGUAUUAUCUUUACAAAUGAGUUUCUUACAGUGGUCAAUGACAAACCAAUUUCAUUCAAAGCUUGCUUCAAUAGGCAAUGGUUUGAUGCCAAUAUGUUAGCUAUUUACUUUGACCACCGUAUGCAUUAAAAAGAAGAAAAAUUAAGAAUACUCAAGCAGAACCUCCAACUUAGAUAGCACUUUCCACAAAAAGUAAUGGAGGGAUAGACUGAAGUUAAAUGGGAUCAGGUAUGUGAUGAGAUCUCAGAAGUGUUUGCACAAUAAUGCAGAUACUCAUUUUAAACAGAGUCAUAAGGAUUGGAACUAAUAAAAAUAAUAGAAUAAAAUACCGAUCAAGAAUGUGUCCUCCUGCGUAUCUGGGUUUUGAAUUCUGGCUCCACAGAACUUGUCAGAUAUAUGACAUUAAACAAGAUACUUCAACAUUCUGUGCCUUCAUUUUCUUAGCUGUAAAUAGAGAUUUUACUAGAACUCUAUAAGAUUAUCAUGAGAAUUACAUUAAUA